UCCCUGCAUGUCUAGUGGUUAGGCCACAGCGCUCUCACUGUUGCAGUCCGGGUUCAAUUCCCAACCAGGGAA